AUACGGAGGGGGCUAGCGUUGUUCGGAUUUACUGGGCGUAAAGCGCACGUAGGCGGUUUAUCAAGUUAGGCGUGAAAGCCCCGGGCUCAACCCGGGAACUGCGCUUAUUACUGAUAGACUAGAGAGCGGGAGAGGGUAGCGGAAUUCCCAGUGUAGAGGUGAAAUUCGUAGAUAUUGGGAAGAACACCAGUUGCGAAGGCGGCUACCUGGACCGGUACUGACGCUGAGGUGCGAAAGCGUGGGGAGCAAACAGGAUUAGAAACCCCAGUAGUCC
rnacentral:rRNA from 1 species